rnacentral:lncRNA from 1 species
GAUGAGCUGGAGAAACAGGUGAAAUAGGUUGCUAAUAGGAGUAUUGAAUUGUGUCAACUACAUUUGUUACACUAAGCCAUAUUUAUAGACUUUACACUACAAUCCCUUUUCAUUUGCUAUCACUUAAUGAAGGUCUGAAUCUGAAUGGUUAAGAUAUCAUCCCAUUAAGUGCUUUUUAUUAACAGAUUCAACCUAUUAGUACAUCUUAAUGAAUCAGAUGUUAAACAAGUCUGAAAAUCAUUUAGAUCCUCACUAAAAAGUUCAAUUCAUUAGGUAAAAAAGAAAGUUAGUGCAUUACUAUGUGGGAAUAUACUGGGUUUGUUGUUGUUGUUGUUGUUGUUGUGCAUUAAGGAAUAGAACAUACUUGGUAGGAUAAAAGAAUGAGAUUGAGAUUUGAGAGUUACCCCUCUGCUUACUUUUUCUUUUUAAAUAACACAUAUUUUGUUGAGAUAAGAACAAUGACCGGUUCUUCCUAUUAAACAUCUGUGUUAUUUCUCUUUAUGCCAAUUAGUUUCCUUUUUUUUUACUGGAUAGUAGGUAUUUAGGCUGAUAGGAAUGGUAUUGUCGUAAACUUUUAAGUUAAGGGUUCCAUGCUUUUAAUGUAGUAUAGAUAUAGAUGAUUCUUUCAAUCUAGCCAAGCUGUAUUAAAUGCUACUUCACGGACAAUUGUAAUUGACUUCUCCUCUGUUGAAUGUUGUUAACGGUUAUAUUACCUUAAUUGUUAUAGUUUCUCGAGCAGAAUAACUCUGAGAAGUGAUCAUCAAACUUCCAUGUUUUCACGUAGUUUCUUUGACUUUCGAGGACUCCUUUAAAGUAUCACACAACCACUCCAUUGUGUUUCAGCUAAGACUACAUUUGUUUUUUUUAAUAUUCAGACAUUUGAAUCAGUUUGAGCGGACAUCUGAAUGGUUAAGAUAUUGUCUCUAGAUCUGAAAACUAAAUGAUUAAGGUUGGGUGUUUCUCAAUAUCUGAAUGUGCAAAAUUUAUUUAUUUCUAAAUAUAAAAUAAUUAUAUAUUAGAAAUUUUUUAAUUUAAUGCAAUUAAAUUAUUAUUUGAUUAAAAAAGAAACAUUUAUGUUUGUUAGUGAUACUGGAAAUGGUUUGUAAUGGUGGUGGUGGUUAUAAUAAAUUAAUUGAUAUUAGUGAUUAGCAAUGUUGGUGAUGCUAGUUGUGAUAGUAGAUAUAGUUGGCAUUGUAGUAACUUUCAUGAUAUUGGCAAUUGGUAGUGGUGGUGGUGGUUAUGAUGUGAAGUUGGUUAAUGUUAGUAGCUGGAGGUGUUGAUCGUGGUGAUGGAAAACUAUAUGCAUGAUGGUUGAUGAUGUGUUGGUGGUCGUUGGAGAUGCUGUUAGCUGUGAUAGUGAAAUGGUUAUUAGUACAGAUACUGUAGCGACUGUAGUGGAUAGUGGUGGUAGAGGUGGUGACGCCGGUGACAGUGGUGGUGAUGGUGUCUGAAUAAUAUGUGUAAGUUGAUUAUGUGUUAGUGGUUGUUAGCGAUGUGUGGAAGUUGAUGAUGUGUGGUGGUUAUUAGUCGUAGUGCUAGUUCUAAUAGAUGAGUUAGUUGGUAGUAGGGAUCGACCGGUAGCAAUUGAUGGUGGUGGCGUUGGUGGUAGGGGUGUUCAUGGGUCGAUAUGGGUCGGUUAUUGGUCAAAACCAUAACUAAACCAACUUAAUCGAUUUUUAAAUUUCUAAAACCAAACCAAACCAAACAAAAAAAUAACCAUCGGUUUGGUUCUUGCCGGUUUAGUUCAGUUUGAUUCGGAUUUUUUGGUUUAUAACUUUAGUUAAUGAUAAAAUUUGAAAAUUUUAUAAAACAAAUCCAAUCUAACAUAUGAGAUGUCAACCGAGUGUUGUAUCUCAAUCUUGAAACUAUGAUGUCAACUGAGUGUUAUACUUCGGCAAAGCCAUGAUAACGCCAUAUGAACGCUUUUAAAAAAAUAUUUAAAAACUAUAUUUAAUAGAAUUAUAUGAUAAACCCCCAAAAGGUGAGCACAUAAACUUCUUUCUCAACAAGGUUCAAAAGAAAGUUAAAAUUAGUGAUUGUGUAUAGUCUAAUGAAUUUCAGCUGUAAAUUUCAAUAUAUAACAAGAUAUUAUUUUUACAAUUAGUAUCAUUUGUCAUUCAAAAUAUGAAAUUCAUUUAGAAUCUCAUAAUGUAGUGUCAACUAGAUGAAGAAAUAUGACUGAAUGUGUUACGACUAAAGUUAAAUCAAGAUUAAAAUAUAAAAUGUAACAAAUAUUUAGAUUACAUUUAUGAAAAACAUAUAAAUAAUUAUAAUAUAUUUGUAUAUCGGUUUGGUUAUUUUGUCGGUUAUUUUAGAGUAAAACCAAACCAAACCAAACCAAAUUAGUAUCAGUUUAUUAAAAUUCAAAUCUAAACCAAACCUAAUCAAAUAUAGGUUUUUUUAAUCGGUUUGGUUUGGAUCGCGGUUCAGUUUGGUUAAAAACCAAACCGUGAACACCCCUAGUUGGCGGUGGAUAUAAUUAGAAUAAUGGAAGUGGUAGGUGUGGUAGCGGUUGGCAGUGUAGUUGGUACUGAUGUUGGUUGUGAUGGUGGAAGUGGUUGGUGGUGGUGACAGGUGAUUGUGGAUAGAGUGGUGGUGAAUUUUAUCCUACACACGAAUAUCUGUAAAUAAUAUUUAGACUUGGUUCCACAUCUGAAUGAUUAAGACCUACUCAGACCUAUUAAGAGCUAAGAUCCUAAUAAAAUCAAAUGCACUUAAUGGUUUGAGGUCUGAACAGGUUCAUAAAUCCAAUAAGUGCAAACAAAUGAGACCUGAAAGUAGUUUGUCUGUUCAAGUUUCGACCAUGUUUUGUCCAUUUGUACCACACCCCAGUUUUGAUUUCACUUCGGAUGAUAUCGUGCAACUUAAAACCCAAUUCAAAAUAUAUUGUGUUGUCAACCAUAUAAAUUGGAAUAAAUAAACUUAGUGCCAAAAUUCGCCUCUGAAGAAGUAGUUGAGAUGUAAUGAAAGUAAAGGCUUUGAAAAGAUUAACCUCGGAAAAAAUGCCUGAGAGCAUCUCUGUUUCUCUAAAUAAAGUUGUAUCUCCCUCACUAUGAUUUUUUUGGCCGUAGUACACACUUGCGACUUACCAAACGAUAUAUUGUUUCAUCUUCUGCCCUUUCUGAAAAGAAUUGAAGUUGAAUGAUCAAAUGUUAUUAGCAUUUAUCUCCUUGCUUGAUGAAAGAGGGAGUUUACCUAGUAUCCUAGCAUGUAAUGAUCCUGUUCAUAUUCUUAUUCAAUGAUUGAAUUUGGUAAUGUUUUCUUGAGUUAGGCUAUUGCUAUGGGAUGGUGAGAGUUAUACAUAAACUCCGAUGCUAAAAAUCUUUUCUUUUUCCCUUGUAAUUACUGUUUGUGUGCAUAAAUGAUUCUUAUUAAGUAAAUAUAACGAAAGCGCUGUUAAAAGAGAUGCUAUCCAUUUUUAUUUAUUCAUUUUUUUCUAUUAUCCAAACAGGGGUGGUUGAUUUUUCCUUCAAUUUAACCUGAUCAGUGCAAUUAAGUUUAUGUGUCAAGUGUCUUGUGAUAUUGUAGAUGACUUUGAACAAGUGGAGAAAUGUUGGUAUUCAUGAAAGAAAUUUCAUCCCCAUCACCCUGCUUGUAAUUUAUAGACUUUAUGUUAACUUAAAUGUAUGGACAAGGCUCCAUUUGGUAUCCUAUUUUUGGUACUGAUAAGCAUUCUGAAUUUGUGUUACUUGUAUGUUGCUUCAGUAUCUUGAUGACAAGUCACAAAUUAAAGAUGCAGUUAGGAUGGUCGAGGUAAUCACCACUCUUCAUUUUAACCUCUGUUGUGCUUCGGUUAGUACCUAAUAUUUUGGCUGAGCCAUCUCUACUUUUAGAUUGGAUUGACAUCAGCCUGGACGCUUGAUGAUUUUAAGGUUGCAAUCGCCAAGUAUAUUAGCUCUCCACCAAUGUCAGAUACCAACUUAAAG